rnacentral:rRNA from 1 species
UACGAGGGGGGCGAGCGUUGUUCGGAAUUAUUGGGCGUAAAGAGCUCGUAGGCGGUCCGUCACGUCCGCUGUGAAAACCCAGGGCUCAACCCUGGGCUUGCAGUGGAUACGGGCAGACUAGAGGUAGGUAGGGGAGAAUGGAAUUCCCGGUGUAGCGGUGAAAUGCGCAGAUAUCGGGAGGAACACCGGUGGCGAAGGCGGUUCUCUGGGCCUUACCUGACGCUGAGGAGCGAAAGCGUGGGGAGCGAACAGG